rnacentral:tRNA from 1 species
UCCCUGGUGGUCCAGUGGUUAGGAUUCAGUACUUUCACUGCUGUGAUCUGGGUUCAAUCCCUGGUUGCAGAA